GGAGAGGUGCCAGAGUGGACGAUCGGGGCGGUCUCGAAAACCGCUGUGGUAAUACCACCGGGGGUUCGAAUCCCUCCCUCUCCG
rnacentral:tRNA from 1 species